rnacentral:sRNA from 1 species
GUUUUCCGAAGUGUAACGGGAGCUGCACCACUCCUCGGCAGUGCCCCCGGCCUUUCCUGACCUGGUGUCAUCUGGAUAUGUGCCCCCACCAGUGGCCACUCCAUUCAGUUCCAAGUCCAGUACUAAGCCUGCAGCUGGGGGCACAGCACCCCUGCCUCCUUGGAAGUCCCCUUCCAGCUCCCAGCCUCUGCCCCAGGUUCCGGCUCCGGCUCCGGCUCCGAGCCAAACACAGUUCCAUGUUCAGCCCCAGCCCCAGCCCAAGCCUCAGGUCCAACUCCAUGUCCAGUCCCAGCCCCAGCCUGUGUCUUUGGCUAACACCCAGCCCCGAGGGCCCCCAGCCUCAUCUCCGGCUCCAGCCCCUAAGUUUUCUCCAGUGACUCCUAAGUUUACUCCUGUGGCUUCCAAGUUCAGUCCUGGAGCCCCAGGUGGAUCCGGGUCACAGCCAAAUCAAAAAUUGGGGCACCCUGAAGCUCCUUCCGCUGGCACAGGCUCCCCUCAACCUCCCAGCUU